CACGUAGGGUGCGAGCGUUGUCCGGAAUUAUUGGGCGUAAAGAGCUCGUAGGCGGUUCGGUAAGUCAGGUGUGAAAUCUCCACGCUCAACGUGGAGGCGCCACCUGAAACUGCCGUGACUAGAGUCCGGUAGGGGAGUGUGGAAUUCCCGGUGUAGCGGUGAAAUGCGCAGAUAUCAGGAGGAACACCGGUGGCGAAGGCGGGUCUCUGGACAGUUCCUGACGCUGAGGCACGAAGGUCAGGGGAGCAAACGGG
rnacentral:rRNA from 1 species